rnacentral:tRNA from 1 species
GCCUGGGUGGCUCAGUCGGUGAGCGUCUGACUUCGGCUCAGGUCACGAUCUCACGGUCUGUGGGUUCGAGCCCCUCGUCGGACC